UGGACCAAGGAUGAUGACCGAUGGCGCAUGCGUCAUGGAUGAUAAAUACCACGUGUCUGAAACACUGAGGUCCAA
ensembl:snoRNA